rnacentral:lncRNA from 1 species
UUCCUACUUUGAAAAGAACUAAUUUAACAGGAACUGUCGCUUUCGCGUAUUCAGAACCGAGUUGUACUCCCUAAUCAAACCCUCUUAUUGUCACUUAUAAAAGGCGCGCAUUGCGUUAGAGUAGUAAACCUAUUUUUAAGAAAUAUAGUAUCUUGACUAAGUUGAAAAGUAUUAUAACCUGGAUUUCUUAACCAAAAGAGGUUCU